CUCAAUCUUGAGUUUCUUCCUUCUCCCUUCCUCAUAAGGAAAUAUGUAUUGGGGCCUGAAGUUUAUCACCUUAUGGCUCCAAUCUCGGGGUAUUUGUUUAUGGUUGAUUAUCUUCCUUGUAUAGUUUCAAUUUUUCUGCUUAUACUAUGGUUUAGUAACUUUCAACGUUUAAAAAAAAGAAAUUUAGCAUAUCUUGAAUGAUUUAGUUACUAAACAUGUGACUAAAUUUAAAACGAACUAAUAAUACUAAAAAAGAUUUCCCGUGAUCCGUG
rnacentral:lncRNA from 1 species